rnacentral:rRNA from 1 species
CAAUACGAGCGGCAGACGGGUGAGUAACGCGUGGGAAUCUACCCAUCUCUACGGAACAACUCCGGGAAACUGGAGCUAAUACCGUAUACGUCCUUUUGGAGAAAGAUUUAUCGGAGAUGGAUGAGCCCGCGUUGGAUUAGCUAGUUGGUGGGGUAAUGGCCUACCAAGGCGACGAUCCAUAGCUGGUCUGAGAGGAUGAUCAGCCACACUGGGACUGAGACACGGCCCAGACUCCUACGGGAGGCAGCAGCA